rnacentral:rRNA from 1 species
CCUACGGGAGGCAGCAGUAGGGAAUAUUGCUCAAUGGGGGAAACCCUGAAGCAGCCACGCCGCGUGGAGGAUGAAGGUUUUCGGAUUGUAAACUCCUUUUGGUAGAGAAGAUAAUGACGGUAUCUAACGAAUAAGCACCGGCUAACUCCGUGCCAGCAGCCGCGGUAAUACGGAGGGUGCAAGCGUUACUCGGAAUCACUGGGCGUAAAGAGCGCGUAGGCGGGAUAGCAAGUCAGAUGUGAAAUCCUAUGGCUUAACCAGAGAACUGCAUUUGAAACUGUGAGUCUAGAGUAUUGGAGAGGUAGGUGGAAUUCUUGGUGUAGGGGUGAAAUCCGUAGAGAUCAAGAGGAAUACUCAUGGCGAAGGCGACCUGCUGGAACAUAACUGACGCUGAUGCGCGAAAGCGUGGGGAGCAAACAGGAUUAGAUACCCGGGUAGUC